UACGGGGGGGGCAAGCGUUGUUCGGAAUUACUGGGCGUAAAGCGCACGUAGGCGGUUACUCAAGUCAGAGGUGAAAGCCCGGAGCUUAACUCCGGAAUUGCCUUUGAAACUAGGUGACUUGAAUCCAGGAGAGGUGAGUGGAAUUCCGAGUGUAGAGGUGAAAUUCGUAGAUAUUCGGAAGAACACCAGUGGCGAAGGCGGCUCACUGGACUGGUAUUGACGCUGAGGUGCGAAAGCGUGGGGAGCAAACAGG
rnacentral:rRNA from 1 species